CAACAUUUCGCACCGCGUUAAUUAAUUGGAUCAGUGUGUCCCCGUAGAAUCCGAAUCCCAAAAAAUUUCCAUAUUUCAGGAGAGAAAAAGGAAGAGAUUAAAAUUUAUUUUUCGUUUAAAAUUUGUUUAUACUUUGCUUGAUUACUUUAAUUUUUGCGAAUCUUAUUUUCGAAGCUAAAUAAUCACCAUACGAUUUUAAUUUCUCUUAGAUCAUCCUGCCCUUCAGGUUCGUUUAUAUUAUCUUUUUCUUUAAACUGCCCUAGUUUUAUUUAACAAUUUAUAAGUGUGAUAAAAAGAUGUUUUUACAAUAUGAGGGCCUGUAAAAGUUGGUUUUUAAGGGUUUUGCUUUUCCAAAUUUAAAUCAUGUUCAGGUUCAUUGCAUUUACUGCAGUUUGGUUUUUGAUUUGUAAUCUUCUCUUUCUCGUGUUGACUCGUUGUUGUUAUUGCAUUUUUUGAAUGAAGAAAUGUUGUCUGAUAAUCUGAACUAAUGACGAUAGAAUCCCCUUUUUUGGCAUGUUUGUAUACGAAAAAUUGUCUGGGUUUCAUUGUGAUUGAACAAAGGGUUUUUCUUUCCUUUCCUUUUCUUUUUCUUUUUUUUUUUUUGGGUGGGGUUGGGGGGGGGGGGGGUUCUGAAUUAAUUACCGUUCUUAAGAAUCAAUUGGUACUGUGAUUAAAUACUUUAGCUUGAAAAAUGAGUUAACAUUACUGCUUUUCCAUGAUAAUUUUACUUCUAUGUUCGUUCCUUUUUCUUUUUUUUUUCUUUUUUUUGUUAUUUAUUUAUUUAUUUUUUUGCACAAGUUUUCUUAAUUAAUGACAAGAGAAGUGCUUAAUCUGUUACCGUUAAUGGGUUAUCGGAAAGGAAAGGAAGGCUUUUGUUAUGUAGUCUCAUUGAAACAUCAAAUCUUUUCUUAUAAUAGGUUAUGUUUAGCUAAUCAUUGCACAUGAAGUUAUUACUUGUUCAACAUUGAUUGCUUGCCUUCUAGGUUAAACCCUAAUGUUAAGGGUCCCCCACCACCCCUGUCCUGGAGCAUCGUGAGGGAGGUAAAUCGCAGGUUAUGCCUCCAAGGGUACAGGGUGGAAGGCUGCUUGUAUACUUGCAUUUACCCAAGAGCCAAAUCCAUAUUUCAGGAAUCGAACCCUUGACGCAGCACUCUCAAACAAAGCUGGAUUCCUCCACCCUCCCCUUUUACCACUUGGAGAUGUGCUCUGGGGGCGAUUGCUUGCCUUCUAGAUAGUGUUACAAAUAUACUAUUUGGGAACUGCAUAUAUUGUUGGACAAUUAUAAUUGUUGAGCUUUUCAAGAAACUAGUAUAAAUGUGAUUUUAAUUGAUCAUUGCCUGCUUUCAUUUAUUUAUUUAUUUAUUUUUUUUUUUGUAAUUUUAGGGACAAGGGACUCAUGGCAACUGCGACAAUGGCCACUGCAGCAGGUGCUGCUGCACUUUUGUAUUAUACACUGAACAAAAAAUUACAGUCUAAUCCAUUAACGGGUGAUGACGAAGACGGGAGUGAUGUACAGAAUCAUGCUCCAUUAGGGAUUGCUAGGGUCUCUCAUAGGCUUGUUCAAGCUCCUGCCACGUGGAUAGAGACAAUUUCUACUUUGUCGGAGACUCUUAGAUUCACUUAUUCCGAGACUUUGGGAAAGUGGCCCAUUGGGGAUUUGGCGUUUGGUAUCAGCUUUCUCUUAAAGAGGCAGGUAAGCACAUAUCAAUGUUUGAUAUGCUCCGAAUCAACAUGCAUGUAGACACGUGUCUUUGCUUUUCUUUUUCCAAUUUCUUAUUGAAAUAAUAUCACUAUUAGUUUAAUCCAACAAUAAUGGUCUGCCCUCUACAAUAUCCACAAAAUAGGAGGAAAGAACCCAC
rnacentral:lncRNA from 1 species